AUUGAACGCUGGCGGCAGGCCUAACACAUGCAAGUCGAACGAGUGGCGGACGGGUGAGUAAUGUCUGGGAAACUGCCCGAUGGAGGGGGAUAACUACUGGAAACGGUAGCUAAUACCGCAUACCAUCGGAUGUGCCCAGGUUGGAUUAGUUAGUAGGUGGGGUAAGGGCUCACCUAGGCGACGAUCCCUAGCUGGUCGGAGAGGAUGACCAGCCACACUGGAACGGAGACACGGUCCAGACUCCUACGGGAGGCAGCAGUGGGGAAGAUUGCACAAUGGGCGAAAGCCUGAUCCAGCCAGGCCGCGUGUAUGAAGAAGGCCUUCGGGUUGUAAAGUACUUUCAGCGAGGAGGCGUUACUCGCAGAAGAAGCACCGGCUAACUCCGUGCCAGCAGCCGCGGUAAUUC
rnacentral:rRNA from 1 species